rnacentral:rRNA from 1 species
AUUGAACGCUGGCGGCAGGCCUAACACAUGCAAGUCGAGCGGAUGAAGGGAGCUUGCUCCUGGAUUCAGCGGCGGACGGGUGAGUAAUGUCUAGGAAUCUGCCUGGUAGUGGGGGAUAACGUCCGGAAACGGGCGCUAAUACCGCAUACGUCCUGAGGGAGAAAGUGGGGGAUCUUCGGACCUCACGCUAUCAGAUGAGCCUAGGUCGGAUUAGCUAGUUGGUGGGGUAAAGGCCUACCAAGGCGACGAUCCGUAACUGGUCUGAGAGGAUGAUCAGUCACACUGGAACUGAGACACGGUCCAGACUCCUACGGGAGGCAGCAGUGGGGAAUAUUGGACAAAGGGCGAAAGCCUGAUCCAGCCAUGCCGCGUGUGUGAAGAAGGUCUUCGGAUUGUAAAGCACUUUAAGUUGGGAGGAAGGGCAGUAAGUUAAUACCUUGCUGUUUUGACGUUACCAACAGAAUGAGCACCGGCUAACUUCGUG